rnacentral:rRNA from 1 species
GACGAACGCUGGCGGCGUGCUUAACACAUGCAAGUCGAACGGAAAGGCCCUGCUUUUGUGGGGUGCUCGAGUGGCGAACGGGUGAGUAACACGUGAGUAACCUGCCCUUGACUUUGGGAUAACUUCAGGAAACUGGGGCUCAUACCGGAUAGGAGCUCCUGCUGCAUGGUGGGGGUUGGAAAGUUUCGGCGGUUGGGGAUGGACUCGCGGCUUAUCAGCUUGUUGGUGGGGUAGGGGCAUACCAAGGCUUUGACGGGUAGCCGGCCUGAGAGGGUGACCGGCCACAUUGGGACUGCGAUACGGCGCAGACGGCUACGGGAGGCAGCAGUGGGGAAUAUUGCACAAUGGGCGGAAGCCUGAUGCAGCAACGCCGCGUGCGGGAUGACGGCUUUCGGGUUGUAAACCGCUUUCGCCUGUGACGAAGCGUGAGUGACGGUAAUGGGUAAAGAAGCACCGGCUAACUACGUG